CCCUCAGGUGCCCAUGAGGCCGAUUUUGUGAAUAGGAAAUCCUUUCACAGCAUUAAUGUUCAGAUGGUCUGCAAUGCUGACUGUGUGAUCAGCAAUGUUGUGGCAAAAUGGCCUGGCUCAGUCCAUGACUCCAGAAUCUUUCGGGCCUCUGAAAUCUAUCAGUGCCUAUCACAAGGUGAAUUCUCUGGUGUGUUGCUGGGAGACAGGGGGUAUGGCUGCCAGCCUUUUCUCCUGACACCUUUCAGACCCCCAGGAAGCACAGCAGGCCUACAACCAUGCCCAUGCCAGGACCAGGGCCAGAGUUGAAAUGACCUUUGGCCUCCUGAAGGCACGCUUUCACUACCUUCACAAAUUAAGGGUCAGCCCUGUUAGGGCAUGUGAUAUUACUGUGGCUUGUGCUGUCCUCCACAAUGUGGCCUGCCUGAGGAAGGAGAGGGCCCCCAGAGUGCCACCAGCCAUGGACUGGGACAAUCCGGCAAUCUUCCCUGAUGACGACAGUGGUCGGCUGCUGAG
ensembl:lncRNA